AGAGUUUGAUCCUGGCUCAGAACGAACGCUGGCGGCAUGCCUAACACAUGCAAGUCGAACGGGAUCCUGGCUUCGGUCAGGUGAGAGUGGCGGACGGGUGAGUAACGCGUGGGAACCUGCCCAGUGGUGGGGGAUAACUGCGGGAAACUGCAGCUAAUACCGCAUGAGCCCGAGAGGGGAAAGAUUUAUCGCCAUUGGAGGGGCCCGCGUUCGAUUAGGUAGUUGGUGAGGUAACGGCUCACCAAGCCGACGAUCGAUAGCUGGUCUGAGAGGAUGAUCAGCCACACUGGGACUGAGAUACGGCCCAGACUCCUACGGGAGGCAGCAGUGGGGAAUAUUGGACAAUGGGGGCAACCCUGAUCCAGCAAUGCCGCGUGAGUGAUGAAGGCCUUCGGGUUGUAAAGCUCUUUUGGCGGGGACGAUGAUGACGGUACCCGCAGAAUAAGCCCCGGCUAACUUCGUGCCAGCAGCCGCGGUAAUACGAAGGGGGCAAGCGUUGUUCGGAAUUACUGGGCGUAAAGGGCGCGUAGGCGGCCGAUCAAGUCAGGCGUGAAAUUCCCGGGCUCAACCCGGGGGCUGCGCUUGAUACUGAUUGGCUUGAAUACGGGAGAGGAUAGUGGAAUUCCCAGUGUAGAGGUGAAAUUCGUAGAUAUUGGGAAGAACACCAGUGGCGAAGGCGGCUAUCUGGCCCGUUAUUGACGCUGAGGCGCGAAAGCGUGGGGAGCAAACAGGAUUAGAUACCCUGGUAGUCCACGCCGUAAAC
rnacentral:rRNA from 1 species